rnacentral:lncRNA from 1 species
AUUUGGUAAUUUUUGAGUGAUAUCCAAUGGCUAAAACUAUGCAAUACACCAACCACUCCAUUUCAGAACAAACUUCGUACGAAAUUGAAUUGUCCAAUUUCUUGGACCAAUCGAUAUCGGAUUGAGUCCAAAACUUGGGGAACUUCAUAAUAUGGUGGGAGGAGUCAUUUGGUGUGUUUUGAGUGAAAUCCAAUCUCUAGAACUACGCAAUACACCAACCACUCCAUUUUAGAACGAACUUCGUACGAACCUGAAUUGUCCAAUUUCAUGGACCAAUUGAUAUUGGAUUGAGUCCAAAACUUGGGGAACAUCCUAAUGUUCUGGGAGGACUCAUUUG